rnacentral:sRNA from 1 species
AUCAUCAUCACCUGCUUCCCCGCUUCUCCUAUAUUCCCCAUCACUAUUGCCCAUACUCUGCGACUUAAUGGCUUAGCCUUACGACGUUGACGUUUCGGAAAUGAACCAGACACUGCUUAACACAAGUACAAUCCGACUACCGUGCUUCAAAGCUUUGCCUUUGGCCUCGCCAUUCGUCAACCUUCCUUUUAUCUAUCGGCACUCCCUGACGAUUCUACGAUAGGGCAGAUUCCCGGCACUACUUACCAACCACUUUCUGUACCGGUCAGUAUGCCAUGCGACUGAUGUUACGCCCACACCACUGGUAAUAGCAGAGUGGACGAUCGGACCCGCUCGCUUUCCUCUAUGUCCCAGCCAAAGUUCACAACUGCCUUUUCUCCCCCUUAUAUGCAUCCCUUCCAUUCAAUCCGUUCAUUCUUAUAUGCUGAUAUUACCACCAGUUUAACCAAAAGUCAUUAGCUCCACCAACUACAAUAAUGAUGGUGUGAACGACGACCACCUAACACCUCUCCCUGUCAAAGGGAAAGCACUGAUACUAGCAAUGGUGAAUUACAGCUGAAGAAUGAGUUGGACAUUGGAAUUGUGAAACCUAUAGCUCGAUAUUUCGAGUCUUGUAGAAAUGAGUACACGCUCCAUGACCCUUGAAUGAGAAGGAGAUUUGGCGACGCAUGUUCAUGUCGGCAUCACAGCAAAACAUUGUCGUAUGUCUUUUACACGUUAAUUCGUCCGACCAUUACCAUUUUGAUUUUAUGCUGCAUAUUGGGCUACAGAAUGUACAUUUGGGACAUCGAUACAAAAGCAAUCAAAUUAUCGUAAAAUCAACUCCCUUCUCCGUCACUUAGCUUUCCCUUUUACUUUGUCCGAACCUCGAAUCACCACCAUCUCCUCUUUUCCUCUACUGAAAACCGUAUAGGGAAGAUGUUUCUCUCCGGCGCAAACACUACGGUCUGCAAAACACGUGUUCGAAUCAACUUCCUUUCCAUUCAAGUCUCCAAACACACGCCUAUGACCUUUCAAAUGAGGCAGGGGAAAGGAAGACGUACAUCACAGAUAGGGCAGUAUUGCCCAACGUAAGGAUGGAUCGUUCCUAACUCAUGGUGACAUCAUUUGCAAAGGUAAUAAUGAAUAUAAAUUGGGAAUGUUAUGAUUCGAGUCUCGGAGCUGGAGAGAGAGGGAAGAAGCAUGUAAGAGGGUGAUAUGUUUGCGUCUUAGGUGGGGAUUGCACUGGGGAUGUGAGAUUGUCGUGAGCAUUGAACAAUGGGGUGUACGGAGCAGGAACAUUCGCACAUGCUUGUUUUAUACGCCAUCUUUUCUUCCCAAAGGCUCAUUGACCCCUAUGCAGAAGUGAACAAC